rnacentral:rRNA from 6 species
CGAGUGAAGCGGCAACAGCUCAAAUUUGAAAUCUGGCUCUCUUUGGGGGUCCGAGUUGUAAUUUGCAGAGGAUGCUUUGGCAUUGGCGGCGGUCUAAGUUCCUUGGAACAGGACAUCACAGAGGGUGAGAAUCCCGUACGUGGUCGCCUGCCUUUGCCGUGUAAAGCUCCUUCGACGAGUCGAGUUGUUUGGGAAUGCAGCUCUAAAUGGGAGGUAAAUUUCUUCUAAAGCUAAAUACUGGCCAGAGACCGAUAGCGCACAAGUAGAGUGAUCGAAAGAUGAAAAGUACUUUGGAAAGAGAGUCAAAAAGCACGUGAAAUUGUUGAAAGGGAAGCGCUUGCAGCCAGACUUGCCCGCAGUUGCUCACCUAGGCUUUGGCCUGGGGCACUCUUCUGCGGGCAGGCCAGCAUCAGUUUGGGCGGUUGGAUAAAGGCCUCUGUCACGUAUCUCCCUUCGGGGUGACCUUAUAGGGGAGGCGCAAUGCAACCAGCCCGGACUGAGGUCCGCGCAUCUGCUAGGAUGCUGGCGUAAUGGCUGUAAGCGGCCCGUCUUGAAACACGGACCAAGGAGUCUAACAUCUAUGCGAGUGUUUGGGUGUCAAGCCCGAGCGCGCAAUGAAAGUGAACGGAGGUGGGAACCCUUUGGGUGCACCAUCGACCGAUCCUGAUGUCUUCGGAUGGAUUUGAGUAAGAGCAUAGCUGUUGGGACCCGAAAGAUGGUGAACUAUGCUUGAAUAGGGUGAAGCCAGAGGAAACUCUGGUGGAGGCUCGCAGCGGUUCUGACGUGCAAAUCGAUCGUCAAAUUUGGGCAUAGGGGCG